AGCGUUUUGGACCCACCUGAUUCCAUCCCGAACUCAGAAGUGAAACGAAACAGCGUCGAUGGUAGUGUGGGGUCUCCCCAUGUGAGAGUAGAAC
rnacentral:rRNA from 1 species